rnacentral:misc_RNA from 1 species
AAAGUCGUAACAAGGUCUCCGUAGGUGAACCUGCGGAGGGAUCAUCAAAGAAUUAAACAUAUAACAACACAAGUGUUUGAGGAAGGAGAGAAGGGGGUUUCCUUUCUUUUCUUUUCUUGACACUUUAAACAAACGAUCGCAACUAAACCUGUGUAUUGGUGGGGGGGGAAAAACAAACUGAAAAGUGUUUGCCUGAUAAACAUUGAAUUGGAAAUGGAAUUAUAUACAACUUUCAACAACGGAUCUCUUGGCUCUC